rnacentral:rRNA from 1 species
GUAGGGAAUAUUGCGCAAUGGGGGAAACCCUGACGCAGCGACGCCGCGUGAGUGAUGAAGGCCUUCGGGUCGUAAAGCUCUGUUGCAGGGGAAUAAAAAAAUGAAGGUACCCUGUGAGGAAGGAUCGGCUAACUUCGUGCCAGCAGCCGCGGUAAGACGAGGGAUCCUAGCGUUUCUCGGAAUCAUUGGGCGUAAAGAGGGCGUAGGUGGCUUGGUAAGUCAGGUGUGAAAGCCCAGGGCUCAACCCUGGAAGUGCAUUUGAUACUGCUGAGCUUGAGUGUCGGAGAGGUUACCGGAAUACCUGGUGUAGUGGUGAAAUACGUAGAUAUCAGGUGGAACACCGGAGGCGAAGGCGGGUAACUGGACGAACACUGACACUGAGGCCCGAAAGCGUGGGGAUCAAACAGGAUUAGAUACCCGAGUAGUCC